CCUACGGGAGGCAGCAGUGAGGAAUAUUGGGCAAUGGACGAGAGUCGGAACCAGCCAAGUAGCGGGAAGGAUGACAGCCCUAUGGGUUGUAAACUUCUUUUAUAGGGGAAUAAAACAGGGUAUGCAUACCCUCUUGUAUGUACCAUAUGAAUAAGGAUCGGCUAACUCCGUGCCAGCAGACGCGGUAAUACGGAGGAUCCGAGCGUUUUCCGGAUUUAUUGGGUUUAAAGGGAGCGUAGGUUGAUGGUUAAGUCAGUUGUGAUAGUUGGCGGCUCAACCGUAAAAUUGCAGUUGAAACUGGCAGUCUUGAGUACAGUAGAGGUGGGCGGAAUUCGUGGUGUAGCGGUGAAAUGCUUAGAUAUCACGAAGAACUCCGAUUGCGAAGGCAGCUCACUGGACUGCAACUGACACUGAUGCUCGAAAGUGUGGGUAUCAAACAGGAUUAGCUACCCUUGUAGUC
rnacentral:rRNA from 1 species